UAAUGCCUACGGGGGGCAGCAGUGGGGGAUAUUGCACAAUGGGGGGAACCCUGAUGCAGCAACGCCGCGUGAGUGAAGAAGUAUUUCGGUAUGUAAAGCUCUAUCAGCAGGGAAGAGAAUGACGGUACCUGACUAAGAAGCCCCGGCUAACUACGUGCCAGCAGCCGCGGUAAUACGUAGGGGGCAAGCGUUAUCCGGAUUUACUGGGUGUAAAGGGAGCGUAGACGGCUGUACAAGUCUGAAGCGAAAGCCCGUGGCUCAACCGCGGAACUGCUUUGGAAACUGUAAA
rnacentral:rRNA from 1 species